rnacentral:sRNA from 1 species
AAACCAUAAAAUUAUAGUGGUCUGGAGGUUACAAUUUUAAAACAUGACUUGUACUUAGAAAAGUAUCUAAUAUAAGGAGGAAAUCCUAGAAUUUUGUAAAGUUUUUCAAAAUUAUGAAAAGAUACAUUUAAUCAUCGUAAACUGAAAAUAGUAACAUCAUCUUCAUACUUUAAUGAUGGCAAGGGCUAUUAUAAUUGAUACAUAUUCUAAUUUAAUGAAAAUGAGAAUUCAAUAUAAUGAUAGAUUUCAUGGUUUUUUUUUCCUCUGAAAUUUCUGACAGCUAUACACAAAUAAAGGGGCAAAAUAAAGUCCUUUUGAUGGGUGAAGUAGUGAAAGUCUUGUCUCACAGUAUUAGGACCUGUGGGACUGGAGAGUUGCCUCCAUAGUUAAAAGCAGUGGCUGCCUUGGGCAGAACCAGGGUUCAUUCCCAGCACUCACAUGGUAGCUCCCAGCCAUGUGUAAGCCAAUCUCCAGGGGAAAGUUCUUCACAUGGAAUAAUUUCCUGCCAAGAUAAUAACCAGUGAAAUGCUCACAUCCAGAAUAUACCUUCCUAUCAAUCAGUGAGGAGAAAGGAAGAGUGAGACUGGCAUGGCUGCAGGUAAGAAAACAGAACCAUGAACAGCACCAAGCUCAAAACCCAUCCGUUCACCCUGUAGUUACUCAAGUGAACGCGACUGGGAAAGGAGGCCCGAAGCAGCCACAAAUAAACCGACCCUUGUGCCAGUGGGACCUCUGUACACCAGAGGAGCAUCCCUAGAAGCAGGGAUGCUGCAUCCAAUGCUACAGUGGCAAAGGGAAGAUGGCCGACAGAGAGGAGACAGAGCAUGAGGGAGCCAGGCUGCUGAUGUGAGCAACACAAGCUCAGGGGAUCAAGAUUCUGCUUAAAUGUGAGGAGGAGGUUCCUAAAGCAAGGUGGCUGUCCUUUUUGAGGGGGCUUGGUGACAGAGAAGCAUGUGGGCUUUGAGGGGCUGACAGCAUCCCGCAUGUUUACCCUAGGGAGGUUGUACACUUCUUUUGUUUAUACUAAUUCAUUGAUAUCACUUAGUCUUAGCUAUAUUGUCUUUAUUUUACACUAAAAACAAAUAUAUGAAGGAAACACAAAAGAAGUGGAGAGGAGAUCUGGUGAAACAGUGGGGGAUGAAAGGUGGAUUGCUUCAUUCAGGGCUUGCAGGAGGAAUGCAGAGUUGAAAGAAAAUUAUGGGAGGAGAGAGGGGAGGUUGAACUUUGACAGAGCAUAGAUCCAGAAAGGGUCUCUGUUCUCCUCAGAUCUUGAAGGAUGGUAAAGUACGGAUGUAGGUUUCCAAAUUGUCUGCAUAGAAAUCUUCCACCAGGAAACAAUCUACAACUGACAGACAUUGUCUACCCCAGGGUGGCACUGGUGCAGCAUCAUAUGAGCUGCAUGUCCACAUGUCAGCAAGGCGAUGGCCUGUGCAGGAUGAUGCCAGGUCUCUAGGGAGGUCAGUGAGGGGACUGACUGGGAUGUCUUCGGUUUCUCUGCAGGUUUCCUGUGCUACUGGGCAGGCCUCUGUGACAUGGCCUCCAGUAACGACCCAUGGUCCCACACUGCAUGUUCUACUCUGGACCCUACUCUAGUCAAAGAGCAAAGCAGACUAUGGACAAUCUCUGCCCAUCACACAAGGUUGUGAUGGAGUCUUGGUCUCUUCCACAUUUUCCCCUCCAUCUCUACAACCUGGAGAUAGUUAUGUAGGAUCAGGAUAAGGAGUGAGAACACACAAGAGAGUGGCAUCUGUCUUAUGAUUACCCAUGGUAAGACUCUAAUGCUCAACCACCAUAGUCCAAGGACAGAACACUGAGCAUGAGCAAGGGGCGUGGAGGGACCUCCUCUCUCCAUUUACACUGUCCUUGCUCCUCUGUCAGACCUUGCAAUUCCACUGACAACACUAUAAUGGCCACAGGGUCAGUUAUCUGAAAUAGAAAUGCAGGUGGGAGAACUGAAGCUACCUGGUGUCAGUUGGACCUGGGAGUCCCCAUACAGGGUACAGCAUCACUCCAGUGCCUUGCACAACAGUCCUCUGAAUAGUACCCAGCCCAGGCCAACCACAACUCCUUUCUAUCACAAACUUGGGGAUUCCAUAAUGAUAAUUUCCUUCCCAGAAGUUCCCUCUUCUUUCCUGCAUAUCGUGUCCUCCUGACUGAGGGUUAGGCCAGAGGGCGUUUCUCUCCACAGAAAAGCAGAAGCCUACCUUUUUCCACAUCAGUUUUCCUCCUGGUGUUGCUCUGCCCCCUCUUCACAUCCUGCCAGUUAGAAACAACACAAGUGACCCGGCGUCCUUUCCUCCUCUCUCUGGUAGACAACCUUCCUGCUCUCUGUUCUCAGGGAUAACAUGAAAUCUGCAUUUCUCAGCGGGCUCUCUCUCAUCCAUCCUGCGUCAUUCUCACUGUGUGCAAACAUUUCCUUUUGGCCUUCUUGGAUAAACAGCAGAAGCUGCUAUGUAUACCACCCUUACCAGGGAUGACCUCAGUCACUGUUCCUCAGACAGGAUCCUCCUACCUAAGGCUGCUCUCUGCAGCUGUCUCUGUGCUGUCAGGUGAUAUCUGCUUCCUCAGAGCAGAGGAGACUCAAGCCCUGAUCUGAGGGCCUUGGUCUCAUCACCUGCUUCACAUCAGCCCAACCCAAAGAAGGCAAGCACCUGAAUGAGGACAGAUGACCUUUCACUGAGGGUGUCCUGAGUCCCCACCAACUCAGAAAUGCAUCUGCCCAUGGAGCCCAGUCGUCCUGAGUGUCCUCUCUGCCUCCUUAGACAUGGUUUGAGAGCUUCAGGCAGACACUCAGGGCCAUUCUCACCCCUUUGCUGAUGUCAGCCCUGUCUGACUCUGAGAUUUCCCCUCACCUGUCUGCAGCUGGACAUUAGCUACUUUGUAGCUUCGCCUUUCUUCCACCUCCCCCACCCCUUUCUCCCACCCAUUCUAUCCCCUAACACUAGAUAGGGGAGAAAAAUAGCAGGGAAAGGGGGAGAAGUUAUUGGUAGAUUAUCCAUAUCUGUCGAUUAGGUGGAUUGAAUUCCUUUCAUCUUCCCUGUCAGGAUACCAAAUUUCUUUUUCUUCUUUCUUCUGCACAAACAACUACUGAACAAACCACAAACACCAGAGACCCACAACAAAGGACCCACAUGUCUCCUAAGGACCUGGCAUUUGUUUAUUCUGGAAAGUCCCCAGAGUUCCAGAAGUCACAGGAACAGAGAAACUCUCAGCUGAUGGAAAAUCAUGCCCUGGCCUGACCAUGAGCCAGGCUCACUCAGCUGCUGUGGACAAGGAAAUAUGAGAGUAACCGUCAUGAACAACAGCUUACUGCUCCAUUGUGUGUGGACCAAAGCUCCCCUCACCUUUGGG